rnacentral:lncRNA from 1 species
UCCCUUCUGCUGGGGCGGGGGGAAGAUGGGGGAUGGGGUCAGUAUAGAGGGGAGGGUCCCCAACUAUUUUUAUUCUUGUCUCUUCGGUUGUUGCUGUUGUUCCUGUCAGCGCGCUAGAGUAUCCAAGUCUUUGCACACAGAAAGCUUCCUUUUGCACAGAAUGAGCUUCUAGCUUUUGUACAGACUAAUUGAAUGUAUUUGGGGAGGGGGGGAAAUAGGGAGUAAACCAAUUCCAGACAAACCAAUUGGAGUAUAAUGCCUUUUCUGAGCGAGUGUGUGCUGUAAAAGGAGAAUGUAAUAGCAAAGGGAGGGCAGGCUCAAGUAUAAUUUGACACAAAGUGUGGUUUUAUUUUUGUACUGAUAUGGAUAAGAGACUGUACAGCAUCUAUUUAUUUAGAUGAUUUAUGUGGUAAAUGUUGCAAACAAAAUUAUUAAAAUAUUAAAUAUGAGAACUGACAUUUACCUAAUGGUCUAUUUGUGUGGUCAUUUACCUCCCCUUGCUUUGAUUCUACAGCUGAGUUAUUUUCCACCAGUCACUUCUGUUGACAUAAACAUGCGGUGUGGCUGAAAAAAGAAUGGAAAACGUGUGUGCUUGCGUGAGAAAGAAAUCUGCCACUCCUGACAGUGACCUCCCUGGACCAAACAGCAACGGAAUCAGCCAAUGGAGCCGUUCUAACAGGGAUGAGCGCUGUUACUCCUGCCAGGUCAUGGGCCCACAAAAAAAUGAGCCUGGAAGCAGCUACCGGCUUUGAGCAGGUGAGUUUUUUCCCCAUUAUCUAGUGGCAUUUAAAAAAACAAACAAAAAUAUUCUUGCACCCGCUGCUCUCCCCCUAUGCUGGUACGCUGCUUGCCAGGGAUUCCAGUGAGAAAGGGCUUGGUGGUCCCCCAAGGCUUAUUGCUUCCCUGCAUUGGCUCCUCCGUGCUAGCAAGAAUUGCUACGGUUUAGGCCACAGCACCAGGGUCUUGAGGGCAGCGAGGCACCAAAAAAAUACUUUAUUUCUGUGCCUAUAGUGAACAAUAGCUGUUCCGGGAGAGCCAUCUUCCCAGGUUGUGCGGGUUUUUUUGUUGUUUUUUUUUUAAAAGUGUUUUACUGGAAAUGUGAAUGAAACAAAGGAAAUAGCCAACAAUGCUCUGAACAGCUGGAUGUUCUGCUGCUAUUUUGCUUUGCGAGAGUAAGAGUUAGAUGAAAGAGCCUGGGGUUGGGCAAUACCUGUGCUGUGGCUGCUCACAGCACCGUGAGUUCUGGCGGGAAAGAAGGUCCCGCUGAUGGGUGGAAGAAGACAACUGGGAAAAGCACGUGGAGCUCUCUGAAGUGCUGCUGCCCCUUCUGGCCCAUGGCCUUCUGCUCCUGCCCUGAGAGGAGGUGUGAUGCUGGUCACCUCUAUGUCUGUUUGGGGACAAAGCCACCAGCCACAGCUGCUGCACGUGUGCAUGUGUGUAGCGUAAGGACUUUCCCCCCAUUUGGUUUAGGAGUGCCAGCUCUUGAGGGUGGAUGAUACUGGUGGUUGGAAGUUCAGUUAUUUGAUGCUCAGCCACAAGUGCAAAAGCAGUUGUUUAAACAAAGUGAACAGUAAGCAAUAAACGUGCCAAUUUAAAUGCGGAUGGUGUUAAU